UACGUAGGGACCGAGCGUUGUCCGGAUUCAUUGGGCGUAAAGAGCUCGUAGGCGGUUCGUCACGUCGGGAGUGAAAACUCGGAGCUUAACUCCGAGCCUGCUUCCGAUACGGGCAGACUAGAGGUAGGCAGGGGAGAGCGGAACUCCUGGUGUAGCGGUGGAAUGCGCAGAUAUCAGGAAGAACACCGGUGGCGAAGGCGGCUCUCUGGGCCUUACCUGACGCUGAGGAGCGAAAGCGUGGGUAGCGAACAGG
rnacentral:rRNA from 1 species